ACACUGGCCCUGUGAAAAACGCAUUCAGUGCUGUUGAUAGAUAUGAGGUCAAAAAAACUAAUGUGGUGAAGUUGAAGGCAAAACCAUCAACUGUUGUGAAAUCGAGUGAAGAAUCCCAUCAAUCACACCAUCAAUAGAUGGAUCGAUUUGUGUUGAAGAGAGGCAGCCUAUUGAAUAAUGAAGACGAGGUGUUUGUUGAGCAAAACUUGUCUCAAAAGUUGAAAUUUCACCAGAAAGAAGGGAUAAAGUUCAUGUGGAAUUCCUGCUUUACAACAAAUUCCAAUGCUGGUUGUAUCCUUGCGCACUGUAUGGGUCUGGGCAAAAGCCUGCAGGUUGUGGCAUUGUCGCAUACUGUACUAACAAACCCUGUAUGCCAGGUGGAACGUGUAUUGAUUGUCUGUCCGGUUGGUACCAUACUAAAUUGUUUACUACUAUGUGGUUUCUGUGAGGAUGUCACAACUCCAAAUCAAACUGUAUCUUCAUUAUCUGGAAAACUUAAAGAAUGGGAGGAAUGGGAGGGAGGAGGGCGUCCUCCCAUUCUCCCUCUUCUCCCCGUUCUCACCCUACCAAGAGACAGCGCCAUGCUGCGUUGCCAGAUAAAUCGGCUAAACAAAACAGAUCUGAAAGAGCCCUAUACUGUGUGGCAGUGGAGUUCUAUUGUCGGGUAUUUAAAAUAAUAUAAAAAAAGAAGUUCUUAUAUGUCUUUGGAUUUCUACUGUCGUCGGAGUUCUACUGUCGCAUACAAAGAAAUUUUUUUAAAUUAUUUAAAAUAUUGGGGUUCUAUUGU